rnacentral:lncRNA from 1 species
UUUAAUCUGAAUGGUUCUUGAGUGAUUUAAAAAUAUAUCUAUCCCCAUAAAUAUCCUUCACGAAGCCCAUAUUUCAGAGAAUUCUUAAUAGAUACUGCAGUCAUUAGAGGGAAUUAGCCAGGUGGUACAGAGGCUCGUAUACAAGGCUCCAUCCACAGCCAGACAAGUCGAAAUAUGCCCUCCAUUUUCAGAAACCUCCUGGAUCUUAAUCUGGUCUCAAUACUCUCCAUUAUUCAUUCUAAACAAUGUUUAAAUAUGGAUGUGAGGUUAAA